ACAGUAACCAGCACCUGCUUGUCCUCCAGCCUCCCAUGUGACUGAUGGGCAUUUAAAGAAGCAACACUGAAAGCUGUUAGUUGCUUUCAGCGCUACAUGCUAACAUUAUGCUGGCAGAUAGCAUUGGACAAGCCCACAAAUGCAGAGUGAUGCUGAGAUCAAUACCAACCAAGUAACUGCCUGGAGGCAGUCAAAUGACCUUCCAGCAUAAGAAGCACUCUGUAUGAUGAAGUCAGCCAGAAAGGAGAAUUAAUAUGAACUGUUCAGUAUGCUUAAUUUUGUCUUAAUUGUGCUAGGAGUUAUUAUUGUGAGAAUUAAAAAAAAAAAAAAGAAAAAAAAGAAAAUGGAUUAAAAGAAGAGUGUGCAUAGCCUGGGUAUAUAAGCAAAGGAGCAAAACAAAAUGCAGAGGAUGAAGGGCAGCUUUAUGGGAGAUAACUCACCAGAUGGAGUAAAUAUGUACGUCGGCAAUAUAUCGGCAGUGUGUGUCUUGGAGAAUCAUCCUGUCUAAUGUCCUGGCUCAGAUGAACGGCAAUGGAGUUUCAAGCAAAUUGAAAGAAGAUUUAAGAGGGCAUAAAAAGAGCUGGCCUCAUGAGAAGGGACACAACUGGGGUCAAAACUAUAGACUUUAAAUACCUCAGCCCUGGGAUGAAAAGUAAACAAACAGGGAAAGCAGCUCUUAAUAAUCGAGUGCUGAAAUGGAAAUAAAGCUGCUUCCUCUGCCGUGAUUUAGGGUUGCCUUAUGGUCUCUGCUGCAGCUGGGGAGGUGUGUGCAGUGCAAUGGAGCUCCUGGUUUGCACAGUGAGGGUUGUGUUGUGUGGCUCUGAGGGUGUCAGCACACUGAAAUGGGGAAUAGCUGAAUUCAUACUGACUGAGCCAUAAAUAAUAGGCACUCUAUGCAGGAGUCCUUCUAUCAAGGUUGAGAAGCACAGAACAUCCCCUUUAUCUUGCCCUUCGGCUGUGAGCUGUGGUGAUGCCCUCAGAGCCCUGUGAACCCAGGGCAGCCAGUAAGGUCACUUGGAUCACGGGUCUCCUGCAUCACUUCUGAAUCAGUGUGUGCCCAGCACUGCCCUCCUGCUUGGAUGCUGCUGAGGUCAACCUGACGGUGUCACCUGCAAGUCCCUGGGCUUUUGUUCUCCAGAAGAGAUUCAUCUUCCUUUUUCAUCUUCCUUUCCUCUGUGCAGCAAGCCCAGCUGUGGAAACUGCAGAAAAAUUAACAUUUUAUCUCAUCUAUGCACGUGAAGCUCUCAGAAAUGCUCUCAUCAGUAUGCCAUGGGCCAGCCACAAGUGCUACUAGAAACAGCCAACUGCAUUUCGCCUGUAUUCCACCAACUGUACUUUAUCUAAGCACACCAGCUCUCUCUGGAAUCACAGACCUGCUGGAAUCCCUGUGCACAGCACUAUAGGCAGCAAAAGAAUCCUGUCUGCAUAAGUAGUUUGUCAGGCUGCACCGUGCUACCCAGCACAUUUUUCUUUUGCAAAUAUUUCUGGGUAGCUCACACUUUAGGAUCUGAAGUCAAUGGUGGCACUCCACAAAGGAUGGUUUUCUGUGAUCAGGGAAAACUGUUUUGGAAAUCCACUUCUGUAGUAGAGCCAAUAGAAAAAGACAUCAAGCCUGCAGGAUUGGAUGCGUGAAGAAAGGGCAGACGGAGCUGGUCUUCCCAUGCAGAUCCAUUGUACAGAUCCCUGGCUCUGUUGUCCUUCUGCAGCUUCCCACAGCUCAUCCCCCUGAAGGACAAGCAUUCUUCUCUGCCCAGCCUGGAGCACAUCUUAUCACUGUGGUUUUUUUCAUAGUACCUGCAGCGUGGAGCCUCGCAGCUUAUUCAAAGACAAUCUAUUUUCUUCCCCCUUUAAGCAACUGCUGCUUCACUUCAUGAAAUCAAACUGACCUUCUGCCAAGUGCCUUUAGGCUUGGAAGGGGUGCAAGGAGAUGCCUCUGGAUUAGGGCCAGAGGUCCUCAAUCCAGGAGGCUCUGGGCUGGGACCCUGGCUGGCAGGAGAUGCUCCAGCACUAACAGAAAGCCAAAUGGGAGAAGAGAUGAGGACUUGCCAGGCACAAGUUGCUCAACAUCAUCAUAUUUCAAUAUUUAUAGAAUGCUGUCGCCUCUCAAAUGUAAAAUUGGGCUGUUAUCUCCAUAUGUGCAGAUUUUCUACAAAUGCAGAUAUACUCACUUCAUGCUUUAACUCUUUCAAUCAGUUCUAUUACUUCUAUCCUACUCAAAGCAAAGUCUUUAAGAGCUUCUCUUUGUUUUCCUUCUACUGUAAUAAGGAUGGAUUUAUUUUUUUUUUUUUCCAGUGCACAAUCCCAGGCAGCACAGCCUCAAGUGCUGCAGUUUGGGGGCACUGCUUCCUGUGUUAAUGAGGACUCCAAGUCCCCAGAGCCAUCACCUUGUCCUCUAGCAAGGACAUCACCUUAUCCUCUAACCUCUAAGGAAGGUUCACAUCUUUUCUUGCCCGCAAGGUCUCUUGAUAGGUUCACCAUGGAUUAAUGAUAACUUUCACCUGAAAAGCUGAGUUCCUGAAAAUUACAGCUUCUAAAAUGGGGACCACAAGGGAAAGAAAGUUUGGCAGGAAAAACUGCUGCUGUAUUGUGCUCUAAUCAUCAUUCCUGCAACCACUGUCUUCAGGGAUGCCUUUAAACGAGGGAAAGGGCCCUAUUUCUGCCCCCAGGUAACCUCACUGAAACCAGAAAAGCUUCGCUGCUGGAAAAGCAUUGCGGGUUUGAAAUGAAAUAAGCACCACCCACCCCAAAUCCACUUACCUGCCUGCUGAUAAAGAACCUGAUGUUUUUUCCCACCCACGGCCAAAGAUUUUUGUCAGUUGCAUGUAAAAUUGCACCUAUCUGCCCUCUCCGUUUUGUGAUGUGAAAGAUGCGUCUCAGCUUAAUUAUUCACCCUGUGAAAACACGUUUCACUCCAGGCAGAUGGCUGCUGGCUGAGACAAUUUCUCAUUUUCUGGCAACCUCAAGACCUAUAGGGACCGUAUGCCAUACCAUAUAGCUUAUGCUACGUCUGAGCAGCCCCAGUCAAUCUUCUCUUUCAGGAACAGAUCUGAUUUUAAUAGCAUCCCUGUCCUUGUUUUAUCAGGGACUGUCAACAGCAUAAAGAAAUACCCUAAUAAAUAGUGAUACAUAAAUACAGAAACCCUGCAUUUACCACAUUCAGUGCGCAUUGCUGAGCUGUUCAUCAUCUGAUGUUACCAGCGUUGCGUGGCAACUGAUGUUUAAAGGUUUGCUGACUCAAAGAGCCUCUGUACUGUAAAAGGUUUGGUGUAUUUAUUUGACAAGCUUUAGCUUCAAUGGCUUCUUUUUCAUUUUUAUGCAUGGCUGGUGGUCAUAAUGACUAUGAAAACUAUUUAAUUUUGGUUUCCAUGAAGCUGAGGAAUUUAGAAAUUUUAUAUUAUUAUAGGGGAGAAAAAAAGCUUUGAGCUCGUCAACAAAGAGGGCCCAGAUGGGUGAUGCUCUCCAGGUUUAUCUGAGCUCGUCUGCCGCAUCCUUCAGAGCACGGCUUUUUGCUGAGACUGUGGUGGUGUAGUGUUGCAAGUGGCUUUGUGUUACUGAGUCCCCCUCCUGUUCUUGUGGCUGCACAUGGUUUCCCUGCCACCUCUCUGCAAAUGAAUGUCACCGUGAGGAAGCUAUUUUUUUUUUUUAAUUUUUUAUUUUUUUACUAUAGUGAAGAUACCUUUGAAUCACAGAAUCAUUCAGGUUGGAAAAGACCUCCAAACUCCCAAAUCCAACCCCAUCCCACCAUGCCCAGUGGCCACAUCCCUCAGUGCCACACCUCCAUAGUCUGCAACACCUCCAGGGAAGGUGACCCCACUCCCUGGGCAGCAAUGCCAGUGCCUGACUGCUCUUUCAGAGAUGGAAUCGUUCCUAAUAUCCAACCUAAAUAGCAUUUGUGCAGUUGCAGAUUCCCAGCUGAAAGACACCGAAACUCUGUGCAAUGUCAUUUUUUCCUAAAAAUCCUCCAAAGGUUUUUGGCAAUCUCCUUGCAGAAGUGUCAUAGGUUAUACACUCAGAUGUGCUAUGGGACUUAGCAGCCAUUUGCUCUCAGUAUAUUGCUUUACAUUAUGAAAUCCCAUCAUGCUGGCUAGCAACGCUUUUAUUUAUACCUGUGAAAGGAAUGUCUAUCUGCUUGAUACUGAUUUCUGAACUUUGUCCUUAGCUUCUGCUUGCUUUCACUGGAGGGUGUUAGCAGCUUGCUGCCUGUAUACUAAGGUACUAUGAGAGAGCUGGGCUUGCGUGAACCUUUGUUGUAUAGCCUUUUAUUUCGAGUUCUGCUUUAAACAUUGAGGGAGUUUUCCAUCGGUUUCAGCCAGUUUAUCUAGAGCAUUUAGGGAGACGCAGCAGCCUCCACUAUUCUUAUGCAGGUGGGGCUUUGGGGGAGGUGUUUUCCAAGCCGAGAGAUAAACCAUCUCAGUGGAGAUGGGAAGCUGGAGGGGGAGGAAUAAUUUCUCCCUUUCCUGGCAAUCCACAGGGAUGAAGGGCAUUUUCUCUCUGGGAAAGCAAUAGCAGUGAUGCAAAGGCUGGCUGAUUGCUGGUGUCUUGUUCACAUCGACAGAAAAUUAAGCAGCAGCUACAGGUUACUCUUUGCUUGUUUUUCUCUGCAUGUUUGUUUUGUAAAUGACAUCGCAGCAGAACCUCAAAAAGAAAAAAGAAAAAAAAAAAAGUGGUGCAAAGAUGCAGGGAUGGUGGUGACUGGGCUCACAGUUGGCUUUCUCAGGCAUUGCCAAGGCAUAUUUUGCCUCCUGCUGCCAGCUUGAUGCAUUGUCAGAAGAUGCCGUGUUUAAUUAGCACUGUGUGCAGAGGUUGUUGGAGAGGGCACAGCAAGUUUUGCUUAUUAAGAGAAGAUUAGCUUUGAGGAGCAGGUAUAUUUUAAUUAAAGGAAAUGUUACCUUUAUAUUCCAUGUAGGCGGGGGAAGCAUCAUCUGCAUGAAUUUUGCCGUUGCUGGACACUGGGAAGACUUUUUGCCAGUAAUGCUGUUUUUGUACUCACCCUUCAGAGUUCUUGUCUUGCUUAUUCAUCAGAAGGGAGACUGCCUACUGGAAAUGCCCAUUUCUACCUGGAGCCUUGGCUAGCACUGUGUUCUAUGUUGUAGUUUCUGCCUAUCCACCAGGCAAUGUGGGAUUUGCCCAAGCCCCUCUCUGUGUCCUGGGCACUCAGCAGAACUUUGGCACCAGCAGCAGCUCAGAAAGAGAACAAAUGCCUCAGACCUUCCACAACCUCAUUUCCUCAUUUCAUGUUGGAUAUUAGGAAAAUAAUAUUGUCUGAAAGAGUGGUCAGGCACUGGCACUCGCUGCCCAGGGAAGUGGUGGGGUCACCAUCCCUGGAGAUGUUAAGAACCAUGGAGAUGUGACCCUGGGGGAUGUGCAGUGGGCUUGAUGAUCUUAGAGAACUUUUCAGACCUUAAGGACUAUGAUUCUAUGGGAACAAGAUGCAGGCUGAGCAUGAAGAGCAUUCCCUCUGCAUCCAGCAGUUCCAUGCCAUGCACACCAGAUGCUUCAACACGAGAAGGUGGCUCAGCAUGCUAGUCUGACCAGUUAGCUGCAGAACUCUCCCCAUCCCAUGGCUGGCUUUUCCUUCCAUACAGGGAAGAGCUCCUGAUCUUUAUGUCAAUGAGAUGCAUAAAUCAACAGAAGUAUCUGGGAGAGGAUGCAUUUGCAGGGAACUGAAUGUAGGCUCUGCAGGUUCUUUUCUAGGGUUCGCAUUCAUUUUUAAGCAGAAAUUUCUCUACCUUCAAACCACUCAGUUCUGGAUCUGUUGUAAAGCACCACCACAGACAAAACAAAACAAAGAAGGUCCUGGAGGUCAGGAAUCCACCAAGCAGCUUCAUCACUCUUUUCUUCAGAUGCAACGAGUUGCCAUUUUUGAGAGAAGAAACAGCUUUAAUUAUGCUGCGUUAUAACAGUGCUUUUGCAUCCUACAUACACCUUGACAGUUCUUCAUUCUUAACCCACGUGAAAAGCACUCAAGCAAAUGAAAAGGUUGCCAUAGGCAACCUCCUUCUGACAUUGUAAAAUUAAUUGCAGGACUCCCUGAGAGGAUCAGGGAUUCCCUGCCCAUUAACUAACCAUAUUGACGAGAAGGCAGCAGCAGCUAAAAUUAAGAAACUGAGUUGAGCUUUACCUUCAAAUGGUGGGGGGGAAAAAAAGCCUAGGUUUUAGCAGUUGAAAAACAUGAAUGACUUUAAUUAUAUGGAAAGAACGAGGAUUGUUUUCCUAGAGUGUAUUGGAAGUAGAAACAGUAAUUGAGCAAAUGAAUUCAGAUAGAGGCAUAAUUGAUACUUGAAAACUCAAAUAAUAAUCUUUUAAUCUACGUUACUUCAACUGCGAUGACUUACAGGAGGGAAUUGUUAAGAGUGCUUUCUAACAAUUAGUCUUGGUCAGGUUCUCAUCCCUCCAAAUAAAUCUCUUUGGAGUUAAAGCUAUAUUUUAGAAAUUAAUGACUUCUUCCAUCUGAAGCAAUCCUCAGAAGCCAACCAAAUUCUGAUAAAUCUAUAAAGCAAACCACGUUCUUUUCAUUGGAAUCUGGAAAAGGAUGACGUUUAUGUAAUGGAUGAGUUUUGUGCCGUCCCUGGGAAAAUAAUCUCAUAUUUUACUAAGCUAUAGUCUGCAGAAAAAUUGCUGCUUUCAUGCGCUUAAUAAAGACUCAUUGAAACAUCACAAAGAAAUCCCUGAAGAUCAACUCUGCAGUGAUCCAUGCCAGAAGUCUAAGGAGGCAGUGGAGAUGGGCCUGGGCAGCAGAAGAGCAGCACCAAGCCCUGCCCCAUCUGCCUGUGCUCCUCCUGAAGGCAAAUGGACAAGGAAGGAGGGGUUGGAGACCCUUCAAGAAGGACGUGAGAGGGAUUUGGUGAAGGGACCAUGUGGGACCAGUGGGAACUGGGAAGAGCCUUUGGAGAUCCCUGGCAAGAGUUCGGUUUGGCUGACAGUUAAGGCAGUCAUGAAUUCAUGGUGAUGGAGGAGCCUUUACUUUCCAAGGAUUAUCACUUUCUGCCUUACAGCCUUCGAGUCCUGGCCGAGAGAGCCCCAGGGUAGGAGAUGCUGCACAGCACAAGCCAAAAGGUCUGCCUUUACCCCUGAAAUAUCUGCCGUCAAAGGUAAGGUUGCAUGAUUUCCUUUCCCAUCUGUUUGCAAAAUGAGCUUUGCAGACCUCAGGGGAGCAGAGAAAACCACCUGCUUGGGUUCACUCUGAUGUUCAUCAGGCCAAUCUCUGCUGGGUGGAUUUUUCUUUGUGAAAGCCUAUCCACGGGCAGCUACAUGUCUGUGUAUCCCUUGAGAAGAUGUGGAACUCCUUCCUGCUGAAUGUCUUCCCCAUGGCUGCUGCCAAUAAGACAAAAUCCAUCAUGAGCCAGAUAAGUUACUAAAGCAAUCCAUACUUGCUCUUUUUUUUUUUUUCUUCUUCAUUUUUCUAAUUAAAAUGUAAAAUUAAUUUUACUGGAAUUAAAACUGGCAUUUUUUUUCCCCAUGCCUAGGAUGGUUCUGGAACCAGGCACUCAUAUUUCCCUUCUUCAUGUCAUGCUAAUUGCUAAAUCAGCUCAUAAUUAGCUGCCCCUUGCUCUAAAGAGAAUAUUUUCAAAGAGCUGGGCAGGGCAGCUCCGUGCUGGCAGGGAAGCUAGCAGCAGGUACCUGGACACCAGCCCCAGUAGGUCAGCCAUCUGCAGCUCUUCACUGCCAUUCCUGCAUUGUCUUCUGACUACAAAAAGGCCUCUGAUGAAUGCCCCAGCUGUGAAUAUACUUUUAUAGAGAUUCAUAGAAUCAUCAGGGUUGGAAAAGGCCUCUCAGAUCACCAAUGCCAGCACGAACCCAUCCCACCAUGCCUGCCAGCCACAUCCCUGAGUGCUACAUCUCUGCAGUUCUGGAACACCUCCACUGGUGGUGACCUCACCACCUCCCUGGGCAGCAGUGCCAAUAUAUUACCACUCUUGCUGAGAAAAAUUUUUUUCUAAUGAGAGCAUGCACUUAAAAUGCAAUUAUCCAGAUUCAGCCAUAGAAAAAAACGGCCUUUCAUCUAGCCACUGAUAUUGCAUGAAACACUUAUAAUGUUAUGGGUUAGCUUUUGUGGAGCAAAAACCAUUUGGUGCUUGGAUGGCUGCUUGUAUGGAUUGGGCAGAGAGAUGUUCCCUUCCUGUACAGGUCCUUAGCUGAUCUCUGCAGCCAGCCUCUGGCACCUCUGGCCCCACUCCUACAGCCCUGAGCUUUGUUGCUCACCCAGAGGCAGCACAGAGCACAGUGUCCUGACCUCAGCUGCAAAGUACGUCUCAAGCCCAGCAUCACAGAUUUUGCUUUCAUUUCACUUAGGAUGGGAAUACAGAUAAAGAAUGAAAAUUGAU